UACGUAGGGGGCUAGCGUUGUCCGGAUUUAUUGGGCGUAAAGAGCGUGUAGGCGGCCAGAUAGGUCUGCUGUGAAAACUCGAGGCUCAACCUCGAGAUGUCGGCGGAAACCAUUUGGCUAGAGUCCGGAAGAGGAAAGUGGAAUUCCUGGUGUAGCGGUGAAAUGCGCAGAUAUCAGGAGGAACACCCGUGGCGAAAGCGGCUCUCUGGGACGGUACUGACGCUGAGACGCGAAAGCGUGGGGAGCAAACAGG
rnacentral:rRNA from 1 species